AAGACUCUAGCACAGGACGUGUGGAUUGAUGGAAACCUGAAACUGCCAUUGAGCAGAAGGAAAACAUCCCUUUCCAGAACCUUUCUCGUUUUUCUAAAAAUCUGCACUUUUGGAAGUGAUCCCCCAAAGAGACCUCCAGACUCUACCAUGAGUGUCUCCAGCUGAACUCAUCGUGUCUAAUCCUCACCCUAGCUUAUCCUGUUCAAAUCAUUUCCAUCUUUUUCUGGAUGAACCUGGGCGGAUGUCAGACCAGAGAAGAGCACAGAAUGUACCAGAGAGCGUAACCUCAUUCUUCUUGGAUGCAGGACAACAACUCGGGAUCCACCUAACACGGGUACAAAGAAGGCUGUAACACGGGAAGCAGCUAUUGGGCCAAGCCAGCCCUGGAGCUGUAGGCCAGAGCAAGACCACAGGACUGACAGAGCUGUUAACACGCUGACAUCUUUCGGGCUGCAGAGGGCGGGACUGAAAGAGCUAUUAGCAUGUUGUAACACCCACUCUGGGGCUUUGGGGUCAUGGGCAUCCCUGUUUGGGUGCCAUCACAUUCCCCUCAUCUGGAUGCCAGAGUCCACCAUAGGAGUCACUUGCAACAUGCCUGGUCCAGCCACAAGUCCCACACAGAGCCUGCUCCUGUGCUGGUGCUUGGAGCUACCAGUGGAACCCCACACUCACUAGCUCACACACCCCUCCUGCCAGGGGCUGAGUGCACAGUCACGGUGGCCACAGGAUCUGCACCAGAGGACAUGCCAGGCACAGCCCAGCAAGCCGAGUAGAUGGGGCAUCUCCUGUGGUUAGCCUGGGCUCCAGCAAGGCCUAGGUAGGGCAUCGCCAGCCAGAGGUCUCUGGCUGGCAAAGUUGCCGAGAAACAUCCUAUGUCAUUAAGGAGAUGGGGAGGGGCAGAGGGGCACUUAUGGAAAUAUGAAUGAUUUUUUUUUUUUGAGACAGAGUCUCGCUCUGUCGCCCAG
rnacentral:lncRNA from 1 species